GUGCUCACUUUGGCAGCACAUAUACAAAAAUUGGAGCGAUACAGAGAAAAUUAGCAUGGCCCCUGCGCAUGGAUGACAGGAAAUCUGUGAAGUGUUCCAUAUUUUU
ensembl:snRNA U6 U6 spliceosomal RNA